AUUGAACGCUGGCGGCAGGCCUAACACAUGCAAGUCGAGCGAGCGGCGGACGGGUGAGUGAUGUCUGGGAAAAUGCCUGAUGGAGGGGGAUAACUACUGUAAACGGUAGCUACUACCGCAUACCCUCAGAUGUGCACAGAUGGGAUUAGCUGGUGGGUGGGGUAACGGCUCACCUUGGCGACGAUCCUUAGCUGGUCUGAGAGGAUGACCAGCAACACGGGAACUGGGACCCGGUCCAGCUUCCUACGGAAGGAAGAAGUGGGGAAUAUUGCACAAUGGGGGCAAGCCUGAUGCAGCCAUGCGGGGGGUGGGAAGAAGGCCUCCGGGUUGUAAAGCACUUUCAGCGGGGAGGCGUUACCCGCAGAAGAAGCACCGGCUAACUCCGUGCCAGCAGCCGCGGUAAUUC
rnacentral:rRNA from 1 species